rnacentral:rRNA from 1 species
CCUACGGGAGGCUGCAGUGGGGGAUAUUGCACAAUGGGCGGAAGCCUGAUGCAGCGACGCCGCGUGGGGGAUGACGGCUUUCGGGUUGUAAACCUCUUUCGCUGGGGAACAAGGCCUCCAAGUUUUCUUGGGGUUGAGGGUACCUGGAUAAGAAGAGCCGGCUCACUACGUGCCAGCAGCCGCGGUAAUACGUAGCGCGCGUGCGUUGUCCGGAACUAUUGGGCGUAAAGUGAUUGUAGGCGGCUUGUUGCGCCUGCGGGGAAAACGUGGGGCUUAACCCUGAGUGUGCAGUGGGUACGGGCAGGCUAGAGUGUGGGAGGGGUGAGUGGAACUCCAGGUGUAGCGGUGGAAUGCGCAGAUAUCUGGAAGAACACCGAUGGCGAAGGCAGGUCACUGGGCCAUUACUGACGCUGAGAAGCGAAAGCGUGGGGAGCGAACAGGAUUAGAUACCCGAGUAGUC